AACACUUUGGAUGAUCUCAACAAGGACAUGCUCUCACUGAACCUCACUGGUGUUGCCCGUGUGCCCUAUGGGGCAUUGUCACAAGUGGAGAAUGCAACAAAACAUCUGAAGGAGACUAUAGUCCCUAGAGAAGAUCCAACUUACUCAAUAGUUACAGCAGAAGAAAGUCUCCAGAGUUUAUCAAGAGGAGUUGAUCAGCUGCACAAAGAGUCAUCAACGUUUUUGAAAAAAGCUUGGCAACUUAACAGAAUAACUCAAGCAACCAGGAAUAAAAGUCAAGAACUGACUGGAUUUAU
rnacentral:lncRNA from 1 species